CGCCGCCGCCACGGCCCGGCCGCCGCCGCACAGCGCCCCCCGAGGGCCGGCCGCGGCACUGCGCCCGGCUGCUCGCGGCCCGGCGGCUCCUCGCGGGGAACAAUAGGCUCGGCUCGCCGGGCUUAGGGUUCAUCUGCAAUGUGCCGCACAUUUCGCACGCACACAAAGCCGGCGGAAGGGGGGCGGCGCGGCGAAACGGCCACUACCGGCUGUUCCGGGGUUAGGGGCGGAGGCGACGUCCGCGCGCCCGGCCCCGCGCUCGCCGCAGCCGCCCCGUUGGCUGCCGGCCGGCCGGCCCCUCGCCGCUCUGCGCCAGGGCUGCAGGGGCCCGGGUGACCGGCCGCGUCCUCCGCGCACCACGCGCGGACGAACGCCAGCCCAGAGGAGCCCCACGGCCGGGGUGGCCGCAGCCCCCGGCCGCCCUCGCCGAGGCCGCCGGCGCGCGCCCGGGGCUUGCGCGGAGGUCCGAGCUGCGCAGGCGGGCGCGGAGCGGGACCGGGACCGGGACGGCGCCCGCACACACGGACACCGGGCCGAGCGUGUCGAGUGGUUAGGCACACACAGCCCUCGCGGCCCUCUCGGGCUCCGGGCCGCCGGCGUGAAAAUUACGUAAUGCGGACCCGCGCGCCUGCGGGGCUCCCUCGAGGGAACGGACUGAGUGCCCAAGUAAAGUCUGAGUCUGAGGGGUCGGGGCGAGGCCGUGGCGAGCAGGCUCCUUCCACGCGCGGGCCAGUGAGCGCUCGCAGCCGGCGGGGGCGGGGCCGGGCGGCGGCGGGAGCCGGGCGGCCGCUGAGGGGCGGUGGCGAAGUGGGCCGCAGAGGCGCGGGCCCGGCUCGCGCGGAUUCCCUCGGCGCCGCACUUGCGCACGGCCCCUUACGUAACCGUCCGCGCCGGGGAUUCCCUGGGGGGGUCGUUCCCUGCGACCAUUACACACUCGCGGCGCCUGCCUCACAAAAUGGCGGCGCGCGCGGAGGCGGCGGCCGCCUCGGCCCCAUUUUGUGGGCGGCGAGCGCUCUGUCACCGUGCAGCUCCUCGGCGGGCGCGGUCAGGCGGCGCCGGCAGCGCGCGGGGCCACCUUCCUCGCUCGGCCUUUCCCGGGAGGCGGCGCGGCCUCCGCCGGCUGCCCGCGCGCCCGCGAGGGGACGGCGCGGGGCUCCGCGGGACUGGCCGGAGGCCCCUGGACGCCGCGCGGGCCCCGAGGUGGGCCGAGGCACCGGGCGCCGGAACGCGGCCUCGGCGGUGUCUCGGAUGCACCAGGUGGUCUCCAGAUCUGUGACUGAUUUCCUGAGAGCGGACCCUAGCUACAGAGAUGCUUCUUCCCACAGUCAUCCUGUUGCUUGAGCCCGUGCACAGCAGUCAGGACUCGAACCCAUGCUCAGGGGAUGCCGCUCUGCAGGAGGCGGCUUAACCUACAGCACCACGACGCCGGCCCCUGCUUUAUUAUCUUUUUUUAAAAGAUUUAUUUAUUUAUUUGAAAGACAGAGUUACAGAGAGUGGGAGGCAGAGAGAGAGACGUCUUCCAUCUGCUGGUUCCCUUCCCAGAUUGCCGCGACAGAGUUGUGGUGAUCUGAAGCCAGGAGCCAGGAGUUUCCUCUGGGUCUCCCACAUGAGUUCAGAGGCCCAAGCACUUCGGCCAUCUUCUACUGCCUUCCCAGGCCACAGCAGAGAGCUGGAUCAGAAGUGGAGCAGCCGGGACUCGAACCUACACCCAUAUGGAAUGCCGGCACUGCAGGCGGCCUCGCUUCAAUAUCUUUUUACUCUAGUACUUACUGUCUUCAACACCUCCUGCAGUUCACCUAUGGGUGAUGCUGUACCUGACAUCUGCUCUGACGGGAGCUGCAGGAAGAACCUUCCCCACUCCUGCUGUGCCAGCACCUACAACCAUGCCCAGGCCGUGACAGACCACACAGAUGUGUUGAGUACAGUCAGGAAAAUCACAGAACCCCAGCUCCUGGAAGGCCUAACAUAAGCUCUGUAUGAGCCAGUGUGUCUGAGAACAUGCAAAACACACCCCACUCCUUUCUGGCAGCUGUGGCUGCCACUCAGCACCUCACCAGUCCCUGUGCGUGGGAAGCCACGUGCCAAAGGCUCAUGUCUCACCUAAGUCCUCGCGGGGAGCAGAGUCCUGGCCACACCAGGGCACCGUCAGGCUGUCCCUGCCCCGGGCUGUCUGUGCAAGAGGAUCUUUGGGGGCAUAGGUGGGUGGCAGGGGAGAGCCAGCUGCCCCUCCUCUGCCUUUGCUGCCAUGUGCCACUCACAGGAAGUGAGGCUCCCAGGGGGUGGGAGGAGAGGGUGGAGCCUCUGCUGGGGGCUUGCCUGCCUGGGUCUGCAGCUGUCUCUGUGCAGAACCUCCCCGGCCACUGUUGUUAGAGCUGUGGGUUCUGACCUGGAUGCCCCUCUUCCUGCACGGACACGAGACUUAGCUUGGAGCGAUCGGAUUCCAGUUUUAUUUCUUCCACACUGAACCCUGCUCUCUUCAUUCCCGUGGGACACACGCUUCAUCCUAUGAGUCUGGGUGAGGGGAGAACGGUUACUUGCAUUGGCAACUGCAGCACAAGAUGACCCCUGUGGCAGUGGUGUCCACUUGUCGGGGAACACUGGUCUUAGACGCUGCAGCUGGCCCCUGCUGAACUUGUGCAUUCUGCCUGUGCCCUUGCCUCUCGCCUCUUGAGACCCAAGUCAAGCAUCAUCUCCCCGGAAGCCUUCCCAGUCUCCAGGAAGAGGAAGAACUGAACGCCGUGGCAGUGAUUUGAACGGGACAGCCGGCCAAGUGAAGACGCCCCUGAGCGAGCAGCUGUGUCUGCCAGGUGCUCAGGCCACAUAAGGAAAAUGCACAGAAGGAAAGAGGAUCAAAGCAAACCACCACCAAACAGGGGCUGGUUGCACAGGGCCGGCCUAAGUCCUCCUGAAACGCUGCAGCACGGAGGGAAGUACGAAGUGGCCAGCUGUGCUGUCCCCACCAAGACGAACGGGACCCCCCUGCCCCCUGCCGGGAGGGAGCGGCCGGCGCAGCCCUGGAAGGAGCGCCCAGCCUCGAGUCAAGCUCUGGAAGGAGGGCUCGGCGUCUGCCCGGGAUAAGCGUCCUGCCCUACUGGUGGGGGGCUCUCUCCCUCUCUUUUCUGCC